CCUGCUCAGAGUUACCUAUAAUGGGUCACUCUGGAACAAGGUCACUCCUGCUUUUGCAACAUCUCUGAGACAAUCCUCAAGCCAAAAAUGUUUUGAUGCUUAAAGAAGAGCAAACAGAGUCUAAGGUUGCAGUCUGGAAUAAUUGUGUCAGUCAGCAGGAAAUAGACUCCUUCCUCUCUCCCCUCCUGAGACUGCCCUUAAAAGCUGCUUAUAGUCCUAACCACUUAAGUAGAAGAAAGAUCACGAGGUUGCCACAUGCUCCUGUCUCCAACUGACCUGAGUUAAUGACGGAGGCAAAGCAAACACAGCACCCUGCUGUUUCUGACCUUAAUGCACCGCCCUCAGGAACAAAACCAAGGAGCAGGUUAGUGGAGACAGCUCUGCAGACAGAGGAGAGGCUCAGGGCUUUAAAUGUGCAUGAAGCAAACUGUGAAGUCAGUAUGUAAUCUCAUGGCAAACCAAUGAAAAAAUAGCAGGACUAAUGGUACAAAUCUGGUAAUAGAGGAGCUGUUGUAUUUUGACUUAAGAUGCAUCUAAGACACACUGCAAAAAAGAAGUAUGAUAAAUAAACAUUUCAGCUACAUAUGAAAAACCCUGAAGGAGUUCUUUUUAGGGUUGCUGCUCUUUCUUGGGAAAUUAGCUCAGCACUAUGUGGUGUUGUAGUAAAAGAAGGCACUUUUUAGAAAUGAACCUAUGCAUCAAAAAUCUGAAAAUCAUAAGAAAAAAACCAAAACAUUUUGUUCUUGG